GUAUUUCUGAGGAGUCCCACAAUAGGACAAAACGGCCGUCCAGUGC
rfam:Schistosoma margrebowiei strain Zambia genome assembly, scaffold: SMRZ_contig0001701